AGUUUCUCAAGGCCACAGUAAGAGCUAACCAUAAGGAGGAGAACAAGUACUGCAGGAACCAGCACUGCAAAGUCUUCAAACUGGCCCCAGAGGAGGAUAACAGGUUGUGUGGCCCAGAAGGAGGACAAGACACAGGAUGAAAGAUAAAAAUAAAUGCCUGGCAUACAACUCACUUCAGCCCUCCAUUUCAAUUUUCAAAUCUGCAGAAUGAAAAGAAGGAAAUUUCACUUCCUCCAUCAUAGAAAGUGUUGAAAGGCAUUUGGGUAGCAAAUGUUAUUACAUCAGCAUGCUUCAUCUGCAGAUUACCACCAGCAAUGUGUCCACCACCUCACAACCUUGCACUGCACCCAGACAAAUGCAUUCACCUGGAUCAGAAUGGCUGCACACCAUCAUCAUUCCAGUCUGGAGGUUUUUCACGCCAGUUUUUCAUGGUUCAGUAACCGUGCUUGAGGGUAAUGACACUCUCAGUAUUGAGGUUUUAUUAAACUUCACCUUGUUUUCUACAUCUGGCAUCAACAUUAAAUCACUUAUAUUUAUGUCGUUAUUUAAAUACCACUGAAGAUUAUCAGAUCUUUAUAUCAGAUAAUUUUAUUAAGUUUAGCUAGACUGCAGUGCCAUUUGCAUGUACUAUUAUAAUCAUUGCUGUAACACCAAUAAACAGUAGUUUCAAAUAAACUGUUUA